rnacentral:rRNA from 1 species
AAAUUGAAGAGUUUGAUCAUGGCUCAGAUUGAACGCUGGCGGCAGGCCUAACACAUGCAAGUCGAACGGUAACAGGAAGCAGCUUGCUGCUUUGCUGACGAGUGGCGGACGGGUGAGUAAUGUCUGGGAAACUGCCUGAUGGAGGGGGAUAACUACUGGAAACGGUGGCUAAUACCGCAUAACGUCGCAAGACCAAAGAGGGGGACCUUCGGGCCUCUUGCCAUCAGAUGUGCCCAGAUGGGAUUAGCUUGUUGGUGAGGUAACGGCUCACCAAGGCGACGAUCCCUAGCUGGUCUGAGAGGAUGACCAGCCACACUGGAACUGAGACACGGUCCAGACUCCUACGGGAGGCAGCAGUGGGGAAUAUUGCACAAUGGGCGCAAGCCUGAUGCAGCCAUGCCGCGUGUAUGAAGAAGGCCUUCGGGUUGUAAAGUACUUUCAGCGGGGAGGAAGGUGUUGUGGUUAAUAACCRCAGCAAUUGACGUUACCCGCAGAAGAAGCACCGGCUAACUCCGUGCCAGCAGCCGCGGUAAUACGGAGGGUGCAAGCGUUAAUCGGAAUUACUGGGCGUAAAGCGCACGCAGGCGGUCUGUCAAGUCGGAUGUGAAAUCCCCGGGCUCAACCUGGGAACUGCAUUCGAAACUGGCAGGCUUGAGUCUUGUAGAGGGGGGUAGAAUUCCAGGUGUAGCGGUGAAAUGCGUAGAGAUCUGGAGGAAUACCGGUGGCGAAGGCGGCCCCCUGGACAAAGACUGCGGGAACUCAAAGGAGACUGCCAGUGAUAAACUGGAGGAAGGUGGGGAUGACGUCAAGUCAUCAUGGCCCUUACGACCAGGGCUACACACGUGCUACAAUGGCGCAUACAAAGAGAAGCGACCUCGCGAGAGCAAGCGGACCUCAUAAAGUGCGUCGUAGUCCGGAUUGGAGUCUGCAACUCGACUCCAUGAAGUCGGAAUCGCUAGUAAUCGUGGAUCAGAAUGCCACGGUGAAUACGUUCCCGGGCCUUGUACACACCGCCCGUCACACCAUGGGAGUGGGUUGCAAAAGAAGUAGGUAGCUUAACCUUCGGGAGGGCGCUUACCACUUUGUGAUUCAUGACUGGGGUGAAGUCGUAACAAGGUAACCGUAGGGGAACCUGCGGUUGGAUCACCUCCUUA